rnacentral:rRNA from 1 species
AUGUCGCGCCUUGGUCUCGGCGAGGAGGCGGGUCGUCGUUUCGUCGGUUGGGCGCCUCAGUGCGGCACCCGGCAUCCUGCUGCUCCGCAGCCGCGUCGAGGAGCUGCUAGACCUGCUCCGUCAUGUGGCGGCGCUCGUCGCCCUCGAGCUUGUCUAGCUUGUGUGCUGCCGCCUGGGCAGCCCGUAUGUUUUCUGCAGGCGUGGCGUAGAUGGGACGAUCUGUCCCGAACAAGCUGGCGAUGUUGCGCCACGCUGCCGGAUCUGGUCAAUGCGGCUAGGCCCACCAGGAGCCGGCGUGCCACCGAUGGCACGGUCCAUCUCACGCUGGUAGGCCUCCGAAAGGCGUCUCAUGCUGGCCAGCCGGUUGGCGCUCUCGACAAGCUGGACGCGGCGUGCCUCCAGCAUCUCGGCGUCGGCGUCUUCCGGGAUGGGCGCAGUCAGGUCUUGCAUCGCCACUUGCAACGGAUCCUGGCCACCUCCGCCAGAGUGCUCGCCGUGGCUGAUGACGAGCACUUCCGUGACGGUGCUGUCGCCGCUGUCCGCGCAAGGAAGCGGCUCGUCGUAGACCACCACGUUGGUGGGGGACGCGUCAAGCGACGCCGUGUCAGAGUCGACAAGCAUCGGGUCGGUGGAGCCAACCGACUCCAAGUCUACAGCUCGCUUGUUGGAGACGUGGAGUUGAUCGAGGAGGCUCACGAGGCGGCUCUCGAGGCCCUCGGUGCCCGCAUCAGACGCGGGCUCGUCGGAGAGGCAAACCUCGCCAACAAGAUCGGCGAGGCAACUCGCCGCACAGGCGACCUCCACGCCGUGCAGCGCGUCGACGCAGACUUCGUCUGGCGUGCCGGGCUGGCUGCGCUCACCAGGAAGGAACAAGGUUUCCGUCCAGAACAGGUUUCCGGAAGACGGUGCACCUCGCCCCACGGUGGGCGCCAAAUGUCGGGGAUUGGGUGUGACAUAUGCCAAUGGAUGGCUUAUCAUGGUGGGAGCGAGUAG